GUAACGCGUAUGCAACCCUACCUAUCAGGAGGGGAACUAACCCGGCGAAAGUCGGACUAAUACCGCAUAAAACAGGGGCACCGCAUGGUGAUAUUUGUUAAAGAAAUUCGCUGAUAGAUGGGCAUGCGUUCCAUUAGGUAGUUGGUGAGGUAACGGCUCACCAAGCCGACGAUGGAUAGGGGAACUGAGAGGUUGGUCCCCCACACUGGUACUGAGACACGGACCAGACUCCUACGGGAGGCAGCAGUGAGGAAUAUUGGUCAAUGGGCGGGAGCCUGAACCAGCCAAGUCGCGUGAAAAGGAAGAAGGAUCUAUGGUUCGUAAACUUCUUUUGCAGGGGAAUAAAGUGCAGGACGUGUCCUGUUUUGUAUGUACCCUGAGAAUAAGGAUCGGCUAACUCCGUGCCAGCAGCCGC
rnacentral:rRNA from 1 species